AUUGAACGCUGGCGGAAUGCUUUACACAUGCAAGUCGAACGGCAGCACGGGGGCAACCCUGGUGGCGAGUGGCGAACGGGUGAGUAAUACAUCGGAACGUGCCCGGUCGUGGGGGAUAACGUAGCGAAAGUUACGCUAAUACCGCAUACGAUCUGAGGAUGAAAGCGGGGGACCUUCGGGCCUCGCGCGAUCGGAGCGGCCGAUGUCAGAUUAGGUAGUUGGUGGGGUAAAGGCCUACCAAGCCGACGAUCUGUAGCUGGUCUGAGAGGACGACCAGCCACACUGGGACUGAGACACGGCCCAGACUCCUACGGGAGGCAGCAGUGGGGAAUUUUGGACAAUGGGCGCAAGCCUGAUCCAGCCAUUCCGCGUGCAGGACGAAGGCCUUCGGGUUGUAAACUGCUUUUGUAUGGAACGAAAAGGCUCUGGCUAAUACCCGGGGCUCAUGACGGUACCGUAAGAAUAAGCACCGGCUAACUACGUG
rnacentral:rRNA from 1 species